rnacentral:lncRNA from 1 species
GUGAUUCUGAAGGUGUUUCAGGAUAUUUCGCUAAGUAAUUUAUGAAAGGGAAAACUAUUUUUCAUGAGCAUCAGAGGAGAGAUAUUGUACCCACUCUUCAGAGACAGAAACUGAAAUUCAAAGAGAAUUUUUAAAUGCAAGCUUAAAUGGAUCCUGCAGCCAUAGAGAAAUAAAUUCUGCCUGAGGGAGCUUGCAAGUGAAUCUUCCCAGGCUCACCUGAGAAUGCAUGAUGAGAGUGCAGCCCAGCAGCCACCUUGACUGCAGCCUUGUGAGACAUCAAGCAGAGGACCCAACUAAGUUGUGCCCACACUUCUGACUCACAGAUACUUUGAAAUAAUAAAAGUACAUUGUUU